AAAAUACAGACAAGAAGUAGAAAAUGAUCUGAAUAUGAGCUAAGCUGUGAGCUCCUGAGAAACAUCAUUCCCAACUAGGCGACGAACAAAUUCAGCAUGCAGUGAAUGUCCACCCUAUCAUGUUCACAUUUGUUAGAAAUCCAGGAAAUUACCUCAACAGAGCGAUCGCAAUUGCUGGAUCCGUCAAUCUCAAUGCGACAAUUAUCGACGCCACACGCCUCCAGAGCGGAGAGCAAGUGCUCGACGGUUCGAACGCUGUAGCCAUCUCUCGAAAGCGCAGUGCACAGAGGCGUGUCUCUCACAACAUUAUCAAUCGAUGCGCGAAUAAUAUUCGACCGGAAGAUGAAGUACCGGCCGGCGCGGGCCACCGCCGGAAGAAUUCUAACAGUGGAUAUGUCACCUGAGUGGAGUCCCCGACCGGUUCUCUCGAUGCAAUUCGUCACAGUUUUCUGCAGAUUGCCCGUCUGCGAAUAGAAGCUGCAGUUAGUCAGCUCGUGCGACUUUCAGUGUAUAACAAAGUGCGUGCGUGUGUAUGUGUGUGAGAGAGUACGGGUUUCCAUGAGAGGACGGCGGAGGACUUGAGAGAUUUGAAGGCGGCGGCGACGCUCAUUUGAAUACUACCGUUGCUGCUGCUGCCCAAUUCUCUCGCCGACGCAUGUUUAAUUUUGACUAUUUCCGCUAUCGGUGAGCAAUCAGUCGAAUUCAACCGAUUUUC